rnacentral:rRNA from 1 species
GUUUCUUCGACCCUGAUGGAGCGGGGUACGGGGGCGAAUCAUAUGUGCAACCUGGCCUUGUCUGGGGGAAUACCUUUCCAAAGGAUAAUCAAUACUCCCUAACAAUCUGAUUGUGAUCGCUUAAUAUUGAAAGCUCCUCGCGGAUUCGGAUGGGCCGAUGCCAGAUUAGCUAGUUGGUGAGGUAACGGCUCACCAAGGCGAUGAUCUUUAGGUGGCCUGAGAGGACGAUCCCCCACACUGGUACUGAGACACGGACCAGACUCCUACGGGAGGCAGCAGUGAGGAAUUUUGGACAAUGGGUGCAAGCCUGAUCCAGCCAUUCCGCGUGAAGGACGACUGCCCUCUGGUUUGUAACCGUCUUUUGUAUGAGGAUAAACGUUCCCUCUUGAACCUGGCUGACAGGACUAUACCAAUAAACUCCGCCCCACUCCAUGCCAUGCCCCCCGCCACUACAGAAGGUGCGGUGCUUAUCCUGAUUUAAUGUACUGAACGGGUCCCUAGGCCGACUUAUUAUUCAAUACUGAAGUCAUGUCCCUUAGCUCUACCUGUGACCUUGCUUUGGGACUGCUUGACUAUAUUUCAGGUAACUGGAAUGGAUUUCGUAGCGUAGAAAUGCAUUGAUUUUACUUACAAAAGAACUUGCAAAGGCAAGGUACUCCCAUGUAACUGACCCGAAGCUACUGCACCAUGGCGAGCGGACCGGAUUAGAUACCCUGGCUGGUACGCCACGCCCUAUGCGAUGUCACUGUUUGUCUUUACUUUCUGACUCAAGCCAAAGUGAUCGUUAGACACCUGCGGAG